rnacentral:rRNA from 1 species
ACACGACUACAUUAGAUACCCCGGGUAGUCCUAGCCGUAAACGAUACUCGCUAGGUGUCGGCCACGGUGCGACCGUUGUCGGUGCCGUAGGGAAGCCGUGAAGCGAGCCACCUGGGAAGUACGGUCGCAAGACUGAAACUUAAAGGAAUUGGCGGGGAGCACCACAACGCGUGGAGCCUGCGGUUUAAUUGGAUUCAACGCCGGACAUCCCACCAGGGGCGACAGCAGAAUGAUGGCCAGGUUGAUGACCUUGCUUGACAAGCUG